AUUGAACGCUGGCGGCAGGCCUAACACAUGCAAGUCGAACGAGUGGCGGACGGGUGAGUAAUGUAUGGGAAACUGCCCGAUAGAGGGGGAUAACUACUGGAAACGGUAGCUAAUACCGCAUACUAUCGGAUGAACCCAUAUGGGAUUAGCUAGUAGGUGGGGUAAAGGCUCACCUAGGCGACGAUCCCUAGAGGGUCUGAGAGGAUGACCAGCCACACUGGAACGGAGACACGGUCCAGACUCCUACGGGAGGCAGCAGUGGGGAAUAUUGCACAAGGGGCGCAAGCCUGAUGCAGCCAUGCCGCGUGUAUGAAGAAGGCCUUAGGGUUGUAAAGUACUUUCAGCGGGGAGGCGUUACUCGCAGAAGAAGCACCGGCUAACUCCGUGCCAGCCGCCGCGGUAAUAC
rnacentral:rRNA from 1 species